rnacentral:rRNA from 1 species
UACGUGAGUGGCAAACGUUAUCCGGAAUCACUGGGCGUAAAGCGUUAGUAGGGGGUGGAGUAAGUGCUGUGUUAAAUCUACUAGCUCAACUGGUAGGCUGCGCAGUAUACUGCUUCACUAGAGGUAUGCAGAGGUGAGCGGAAUUCCCAGAGUAGGGGUAAAAUCCGUAGAUACUGGGAGGAACACCAAUAGCGAAGGCAGCUCACUAGGCAUCACCUGACCCUCAAUAACGAAAGCGUGGGGAGCAAACCGG